rnacentral:rRNA from 1 species
AGUGAACGCUGGCGGUAGGCCUAACACAUGCAAGUCGAACGGCAGCACAGUAAGAGCUUGCUCUUACGGGUGGCGAGUGGCGGACGGGUGAGGAAUACAUCGGAAUCUACUUUUUCGUGGGGGAUAACGUAGGGAAACUUACGCUAAUACCGCAUACGACCUACGGGUGAAAGCAGGGGAUCUUCGCACCUUGCGCGAUUGAAUGAGCCGAUGUCGGAUUCGCUAGUUGGCGGGGUAAAGGCCCACCAAGGCGACGAUCCGUAGCUGGUCUGAGAGGAUGAUCAGCCACAAUGGAACUGAGACACGGUCCAGACUCCUACGGGAGGCAGCAGUGGGGAAUAUUGGACAAUGGGCGCAAGCCUGAUCCAGCCAUACCGCGUGGGUGAAGAAGGCCUUCGGGUUGUAAAGCCCUUUUGUUGGGAAAGAAAAGCAGCAGGUUAAUACCCCGCUGUUCUGACGGUACCCAAAGAAUAAGCACCGGCUAACUUCGUG